rnacentral:tRNA from 1 species
GGCCGAGUGGUGAAACCGGUAUACACGCAAGACUUAAAAUCUUGUGUCGCAAGACGUGCGGGUUCGAGUCCCGCCUCGGCCA